CCUUGACCUCAAAUCGGGUGAGACUACCCGCUGAACUUAA
rnacentral:rRNA from 7 species